UACGGAGGGUGCAAGCGUUGUUCGGAAUUAUUGGGCGUAAAGGGCGUGUAGGUGGUCUGCCAAGUCAGGUGUGAAAUCCCACGGCUCAACCGUGGAACUGCACUUGAAACUGGUGGACUCGAGUGUCGGAGAGGGCAGCGGAAUUCCCGGUGUAGAGGUGAAAUUCGUAGAUAUCGGGAGGAACACCAGUGGCGAAGGCGGCUGCCUGGCCGAAUACUGACACUGAAACGCGAAAGCGUGGGGAGCAAACAGGAUUAGAUACCCUGGUAGUCCACGCCGUAAACGAUGGGUACUAGCCAUAUCGGGUGUUGACCCUUGGGUGUGGCGCAGCUAACGCGUUAAGUACCCCGCCUGGGGAGUACGGCCGCAAGGUUAAA
rnacentral:rRNA from 1 species